AUAAGAUUCCUCUAUAGUGCAAGAAUUAAAAUCAAGAAUUAAUAAAUGAGAUGGAUUCAAUCUAAAAAGCUUCUUUUCAGCAAAAGAAACAAUAGUGAGGUGAAUAGAGAGCCUACAGCUUGGAAGCAAAUUUUUACCACUUGCACAUCAGAUACAGCACUAAUCUCUAGGGUAUAUAAAGAACUCAAAAAGCUAAACUCCAAAAAAACAAAUAACCCAAUAAUAAAUGAGCCAAGGACCUGAACAAACACUUCUCAGAAGAGGAUAUACCAUCAAUCAAGAAAUAUAUGAAAAAAUAUUCAAUAUCUCUACCAAUUAGAGAAACGCAAAUCAAAACUAUUCUAAGAUUUCAUCUCACUCCAGUCAGAAUGGUAGCUAUUAAGAAUACAAACAAUAAUAAGUGUUGUUGAGGAUGUGGGGGGAAAGGCACACUCAUACAUUGUUGGUGGGACUGCAAAAUGGUGCAGCCAAUAUGGAAAACAGUUUGGAGAUUCCAUGGAAAACUGGGAAUGGAACCACUUUUUGACCCAGCUAUCCCACUCCUCAGUCUAUACCCAAAGGACUUAAAUACAGCAUACUACAGGGACACAGCCACAUCAAUGUUUAUUGCAACACAAUUCACAAUAGCUAAACUGUGGAACCAACCUAGAUGCCCUUCAGUUGAUGAACAGAUAAAGAAAAUGUGGUGUAUAUAUAUACAAUGGAAUACUACUCAGUAAUAAAAGAGAACAAAAUCAUGGCAUUUGCAGGUAAAUGGAUGGAGUUGGAGAACACAAUGCUAAGUGA
rnacentral:lncRNA from 1 species